rnacentral:tRNA from 1 species
GGCGCUAUAGUGUAGUGGUUAUCACUCGGGAUUUUGAGUCCGAUUUCCCGAAACCCAGGUUCGAACCCUGGUAGCGCCU